rnacentral:rRNA from 1 species
AUGGCGAUCCAGCCGAUAACGUGGGUGGUUUUCCUGUUGCUCGCGCUGUCGUCGUCGUGGCCCAUCGCGGAGGCGUCGCACCGCGUCUUCCCCGACUUGCAGUCCCUGGAGGCCGAGGGCGGGCGCGCCGUCGACGUCGACGACUCGCUCCGCACCGGCUACCACUUCCAGCCCCCCAUGCACUGGAUCAACGAUCCUAAUGGCGUGAUGUACUACAAGGGCGUGUACCACCUCUUCUACCAGUACAAUCCCAAGGGGGCCGUGUGGGGCAACAUCGUUUGGGCGCACGCCGUGUCCACGGACCUCGUCAACUGGGUCAUGCUCCAGCCGGCCAUCUACCCCACGGCGCCCUUCGACGUCAACGGCUGCUGGUCCGGCUCCGCCACCGUGCUGCCCGACGGCACGCCGGCCAUCAUGUACACCGGCAUCGAUGGCGGCGGCCGGCAGGUGCAGAACGUCGCCUACCCCAAGGACCUCUCGGAUCCUUAUCUCCGGGAGUGGGUCAAGCCCGACUACAACCCCGUCAUCGCGCCGGGCCCCGGGAUCAACGCCACCGCGUUCCGUGACCCGACGACGGCGUGGCGGGGACCCGACGGGCUCUGGCGCCUGGUGGUCGGGACCAAGGACAACCACCGGGGCAUCGCGGUGCUCUACCGCAGCCGGGACUUCCGGCGUUGGGUGCCGGUGCGCCGACCGCUGCACCACGGCGACACCGGCAUGUGGGAGUGCCCGGACUUCUACCCCGUCACCUCCCAUGGCGUCCUUGGUGACGUAAAGCACGUGCUCAAGGUGAGCCUCGACCUAACACGGUUCGAGUACUACACCUUCGGCGCGUACGACCACGCCACUGAGACCUACGUGCCGGAUGCGGCGCUCGCAGAUGGCAACGACGGGCUCCGCUACGACUACGGUAACUUUUAUGCGUCCAAGACGUUCCUCGACCCGGCGAAGCACCGCCGCAUCCUGUGGGGUUGGGCCAACGAGUCAGACUCCACGGCCGACGACGUCAGGAAGGGCUGGGCCGGCGUGCAGGCCAUCCCCAGGAAGAUCUGGCUUGCGGCGAACAGCAAGCAGCUCAUGCAAUGGCCGGUCGCCGAGGUCGAGUCCCUCCGCGGCAACCACGUCAAUAUCACCGACAGGCUCAUCAAGGGUGGGGACUACUUCGAGGUCCUCGGGCUCACGACGCCGGCGCAGGCCGACGUGGAGGUAUCGUUCGCGGCGAUGGACCUGGACAAAGCCGAACCGUUCGACCCGGCAUGGCGCGGCGCCGACGCGCAGACGGUGUGCGCGGCGCGGGGUGCGGACGUCAAAGGCGGCGUGGGGCCGUUCGGGCUGUGGGUGCUCGCGUCCGACGAGCUCAAGGAGAGGACGGCGGUCUUCUUCAGGGUGUUCAAGGACGGCGACGACGGCAAGCACGUCGUGCUGAUGUGCAACGAUCCCUCGAGGUCGUCCUACGCCGACCACCUCUACAAGCCAAGCUUCGCCGGAUUCAUCGACGUCGACAUUGUGAAGGCUGGCGGCAAGAUACCUCUCAGAACCUUGAUCGACCACUCCAUGGUGGAGAGUUUCGGAGGGCACGGCAGAAUAAGCAUAUUGUCGAGGGUCUACCCGACAAAGGCCGUCGGCGACAAGGCGCGCCUCUACGUGUUCAACCACGGCGAGUCAGACAUCAAGGUUACGCACCUGAAUGCGUAUGACAUGCGGUCGGCCAAGAUCAGCACGGAUAUCAAUCAACUGACCAGAUGA